rnacentral:rRNA from 1 species
CACGUAGGGUGCGAGCGUUGUCCGGAAUUAUUGGGCGUAAAGAGCUCGUAGGCGGUGUGUCGCGUCGGCCGUGAAAACCUGCAGCUUAACUGUGGGCUUGCGGUCGAUACGGGCAUCACUGGAGUUCGGCAGGGGAGACUGGAAUUCCUGGUGUAGCGGUGAAAUGCGCAGAUAUCAAGAGGAACACCUGAGGUGAAGACGGGUUGCUGGGCUGACACUGACGCUGAGGCGCGAAAGCCAGGGGAGCAAACGGG